rnacentral:lncRNA from 1 species
GGGCGCCACAUCCUGGGCUUGGCCUGGGGGAGGGGGAUGACUGCACCCCGCCCUGUGCUCUCACCCAGACGGGCACACACAGCACCUUUAGACGGGUGGGGAGGGGCCCCAACUUAAGAUGCUGCAGGCCAAAGACUAGGAAGCAGAGGGUCCCCCUGCGGGCCCCCUUUCCCGUGCACGUGCUCACACUGUUACACAUGCGUCACCCUGGCUCAGCCUCACACAGAGCUCUGGAGAACUGCGAUUUCUGUCCCCAGAGCUUUGUUGGUUUGCAGGGUGGACCAGGCCCCUCACUAAGCCAGGACUGUGCCCACGAGGGCCAGGGGGAGGGCCAGGUCCAUUUGGAGGGCGCAUGCCAUGUACUUUGUGGUCCCUGGCCUCCCCAGUGUCUCUCCAGAGGGUCCUUCCCUGUUUCUCCAGGAGGCAGCAGGCUGAACACAGAUGCUUUUGAGGGGUGGGUGGGGAACACUCGGGGAAGUCUAGGAUGCUAAGUCCCCAGCAGAGGUUCAGCCUGUGCCCCCGCCACACAGCUCGUGGGCAUCUUGGGGGUUUUUCCUCAGGUCCCUAGAUUGGCCGGUGCUGCUGCCGGGGUCCCACCACCCCUGGGCGGGUGCCGCCGGGGCAAGAUGGUGGCCUUUCUGCCAACGCCCUCCUGCCUGGGGAACUCAGAAAAAACUGAGAGGCCGCACCAUCUGCAUCUGUGAUUAAUUAGCAGUAAUUACACGUGUUGUCAACGGCAGGAGAGUCACAGGUUUGAUGACAUUCCGAGGGCUUUAGGGAAACAAAAACUUGGCCCCACUCUGCCACUGAGGAGCCCCAGAUCGCCAGCCCGUCCAUCCCUCCCUGGCCAGGGGCAGGGCCGGGAGAGGGGCCCAGGUCCCCGAGAGCUUUUGCCCUCCUCUCCAACCCCGUCCUCCUCCAUGUCUGACCUGCAGCCAAGGCUGGGCGGAGCAGGGAUGGAGACACCACCUUAUAUUACAUAACCUCCCUCUGCUCCAAACACCCUUCACCCAUCUUUGGCCCAAAGUCCAGGAUGCCAGCCCGAGGCCCAGAGCCGCGCCUUCUCCACAGGAGACUGGGGCACCCCGGACAGACGUCCCCGUGUGGUGGCACCUGCCCGGGCUCCUUCUUGCCUCCCCUCUCGGGAGGAGAGCCCCUGCCACCCACCCCACCUCCUCCCGCUACGACCUCAGCACGAGCCAGGCCAGGGAUGUCCUCCCAACAGUCCAGCCUCACCCCCCACCCUCGUCCCCUCUGCUUCCCUGAGGGCCCCCCGCAACCUCCGUGAAAGAGGAAGGGUCUCCACCUCCCCCUUCCCUCCGUCAUCCCCCCAAAAGUAUGUACUGGGGGACUCAAGCCCAGCGCAGGGCGGCUCCUGGAGUUCAGCGGGGAGGUGAGCAAACACCUGGCGCCGGAGCUUUCUGAAUUUGGAUGGGCAGGACCCCCGCGAUCCCGCAGAAACCUGUUGAGAGUGUGAGGGGCUGGGCUCCUAAGGGCAGAGCCCGCAUCUCCAAAGUGCCCAAGGGCACCGAGACCACCGCAUAAGUGGGAACCGAGGCGACCCCCGGGAAGCGGCUCCCUGUCUGGUGCCCUCUCCUGCUGCGAGGAC